rnacentral:misc_RNA from 1 species
GUACUGGUGCUACUAGAGAGGGAAGACCUCGACUGAAAAGAUGGUGAUCUCUUGUAUGGAAGUCCAUUAGGCGACAACUUGGAAAGCUCAGCUCCACCUAGCGACUGGCGACGCGAAGAGCCAUUGCUCAUGCUUCUCGCUUCUAUAUUGGUACGGCUGGAGCCGCUAGAAGUCAUUCUCAAUCCGUCUUCCAAUACUUUGAGGCGCAAAUGAU